UCUCUUCCCUCUUCUCUCCCCUCUAUUCUUCCCUCCACUAUCUCUCUCCGAUUCACGGCCGGUGGAUUCCGGGCCACCGGCCUCCUUUUCCCAAGCAGAGAGAUCAAAGCUUCAGGUUGCAGGAGUGGGGCUGUUACCGGCGCCUGUUUGCCCGAAUGGAAGACACCACCCCAUCGUCUCCAGAGUUGGCAUCCCAUAAUGGGGGCCCUGACGCCUGUCUCGUAGACUUAAAGCCCCCUUCCCGGGGACCCAAGUGGGCCUAGCUUUCCGCAGUGUCCCCGGUUGCUGGCCGGCAUUCUAGGUGGAAGCUGAGCGGGGAAGAUCCAUCCGGCCGGCCAUUCCGAGCCUUCGCUUUUACCCUUGGCGUUCACUCUCCCAGAGCCAGGGACCAGAUUCCCAGGAUGGCCGCUCUCCGACCAGACCUCCCAGCUCCUCUUGCCGGCCCCCUCCCUUUCCCAACCCUAUUGAUCCGUCAGGCCACUGCUGUUUGGGUCUGUGCCGUUGGCCUUCCAGGAGGAAAUGCACUCGGAGUUUUUGACAGGCCCUGGGGCGAGUUAUUGGGGACGGGCAUGGAAGGAAGCGGGACAUGAGGUAGGGGGCUCUGAGGGUAGCCCUUCAACCCCGGGCGCUUUGUUUGCCAACUGAAACCCCGGGGCUGAGAGGUUGUCAUAACUUUGCCGGCUCACCGAAGCUUUCUGGAAAGGCUCAAACCGACCCAAGGAGGCGGCCCCUUUCCGAUGGCGGGGGGCGGCCGGGGAGCCGGAGGCCGAGGUGGGGUCUGAACGCGGGCCACUCCCAUUUCCUCCGCCAGCCCGAGCUCCAGGGAAACCAUCGGAAUCCCCAAGGCGGCACCCCUAGGCCCGGAGAAAUCCCUCAGUGAGCACCCCUCGCCGUAGUGACUCUCGCUACAACCGCAGUAGCCCUCCUGCCCUCCAGGCCCCGGCUUCAGGCCCUCUCUCUGUUCCAUGAGGUCCAGCCCGGGUCCCAGGAAAAUGAGCGCCCAGCCCUCUCCCUCUGCCGGGUGCUGGACUGGCUAGGGCCGGAAAGAGUUCCGGGGGGAGAAGAGGGAGAGGAAGGGAGAGAGAGGAUGGGCCCAACGAGGAGAUCGCGCUCGGGAGCGGCUCCUCAGCCCCCCAGCAGAGCGCGGCCGAGAGCUCGGGCCCGAGCCUCCGCCUGCGCGCAGACCGCCCUCCUUCUCCACUCCCCCUUCCACCCUGUGAUUUCCCUGCGACCCAACUGGAUCCGUUUGCACAAGAGGUUCCCUCCGCCACCCCGAGCCCCGCGGUGGAGAGAGAGAGGGAGGCAGAGACAGAGAGAAAGGGGGAAUGAGACCGGGAGGGAAUGGGGCCGAGCUGGGCCGAGCGCCGUGCUCCCUGCGGCUGUGGGACUGGGAUUGGGCCUGAGGUUGGGCCUGGACCUAGGCCUGGGGCUGCGGCGGCGGCCGCAGCUGCGGCUGUUCGGGCAGCGGAGAGCGUUGCAGCUCGGGGCACCGAGGGUCAAGUCACUGGCGUCUGGAUGUGCCCACCGACAUACCACCAUACGCGGUCCAGUUGACUGGAAUCCCACGGGGCACGUUUGGAAAUGCAGCCCGGCGGGAUUCCGGUAUAGUAGAAGCUCAAGUUAAACGCCAUCCUCUGAUCUAUUUGCCCUUCGCUCCCUGCCCCCGAUGCCGCAGGCGGACCAGCGGAAAGCUGCCCGUCUGGGCUCUGCCCCAAAGCCAGCUCAGCCUCGAAGCGCACUAUCAGGACCGGUUGAAGCACAACCUUCCAGGCGAGGAUAUGAACUCAUACCGCUUACCGGCGUUUCUACCGCAAUCUCAACAGCUCUGGUGCACUGCCUUCAUUCUCCCUCUUCCAAAAUGGUCCCUUCCCGAUAAUGAGAAAUAAUAAACCGUUAUCAUAAGAAA